AGAGUUUGAUCAUGGCUCAGGACGAACGCUGGCGGCGUGCUUAACACAUGCAAGUCGAACGGUGAUCUUGGGAGCUUGCUCCUGGGUGAUCAGUGGCGAACGGGUGAGUAACACGUGAGUAACCUGCCCCGGACUCUGGGAUAACUUCGGGAAACCGGAGCUAAUACCGGAUAUGACCCUCGCCUGCAUGGGCUGGGGGUGGAAAGUUUUUCGGUCUGGGAUGGGCUCGCGGCCUAUCAGCUUGUUGGUGAGGUAGUGGCUCACCAAGGCGACGACGGGUAGCCGGCCUGAGAGGGCGACCGGCCACACUGGGACUGAGACACGGCCCAGACUCCUACGGGAGGCAGCAGUGGGGAAUAUUGCACAAUGGGCGCAAGCCUGAUGCAGCGACGCCGCGUGAGGGAUGACGGCCUUCGGGUUGUAAACCUCUUUCAGCAGGGAAGAAGCGUGAGUGACGGUACCUGCAGAAGAAGCACCGGCUAACUACGUGCCAGCCGCCGCGGUAAUAC
rnacentral:rRNA from 1 species